rnacentral:other from 1 species
AAUAACCUGAGAUGUCAAAAAACUCUUGUCGUUUUUGAACCUACAUUACUUUAAAAGGGAUUCUUAUAUUGUCAGAUGGCUAUCAAGCCUCCACUCGAAAGAGGAUUGCAGGGGAAGACAAAAGUCUGAUUGCGGUUGCCCACCUAGCGUUUGCUAGGAGUCAAAAGGCAAGAGCGGCAUUUUGGGGAUAU